UCACUCCCUGACCCUGGGCCCCGGCACCUGGGGCCGCUGCCGGGCACAGCACACAGCUGGUGUCUAUCGGCAAGUGGCCAGCUAUGUGUACCCUCUUCCCUCGCGGAAUAGGAGGAAACGUUGGCAAUGGACUUUGUUUCAUAAAACACAGGAUGGGGCCAAACGGGACUCGGUUCCUGAACAGACUUGGAUCACACCCGGGAAACGGAGCCCACUCUCAGCUGCACACACCACUGAGAAGGUCUUGUUGCCCAGGAAGCCGUGUGGCCACAGAUCUCUCACCUCGGACCCCCCCGGCCUGCCUCCCUCCACAGGGACGCCCCCAGCCAGCAGGGCUGACACAGCAGGUCCCCAGUAACCCACCUGCUGCCCCACGGAGCUGCCCCCUUCAGGUGUCCUGGGAAGGACGGCCUCCUCCCUGCUCUGCGGCUCACCCGUCCACCAGGCGACCCGCCCGCUGGUUUCAUUAAAGAGGAUCGUGGCACAGAGGCUGGGUGGACCACGUGGAGAUUCUGUCCUCGGCUGGCACCCUCUGCAGAUCUGGAACAGGCGGAGACUCGCUGUGAGCCCCGGGACCUUCGCAGCCCUGGAAACCCGGAGACUGUCCUUCCGUACAGCAGCCAUGGGGCUCGGACAGGUCAGCUUCCACCACGGGCCCUGGGUCAGAGGCCAGCAUCCCUGCCAAGAGGGAAGAGGACACAAGGUCCAGGACCUCGCGGCCAGGCUGACAGCAAGGGGAAACACACACAUGCAAAGUCAGAGAGACGCAGAGCCACUGCCCUGUCCUCCACACGACAGUCAGGAAGUACAGCAAGAGUUCCCAGGCGCUCCGCGGUGGCCAG